UACGGAGGGGGCAAGCGUUGUUCGGAAUUACUGGGCGUAAAGGGCGCGCAGGCGGCUGCUCAAGUCAGGCGUGAAAGGCCUGGGCUCAACCCGGGAAUUGCGCUUGAGACUGGGCUGGCUUGAGUGCGGGAGAGGAUGGUGGAAUUCCCAGUGUAGAGGUGAAAUUCGUAGAUAUUCGGAAGAACACCAGUGGCGAAGGCGACUCGCUGGACAAGUAUUGACGCUGAGGUGCGAAAGCGUGGGGAGCAAACAGG
rnacentral:rRNA from 1 species